rnacentral:rRNA from 1 species
AAUGAACGUUGGCGGCAUGGAUUAGGCAUGCAAGUCGGGGGAAUCCCAGCAAUGGGGGAACCGGCGUAAGGGGCAGUAAGGCAUGGGUACCUACCUUGGGGCUCGGGAUAGCCAUCAGAGAUGGUGGGUAAUACCGGAUGACGUCGUGAGACCCAAGAUUUAUAGCCCUUAGAGGGGCCCAUGUGAUGUUAGCUAGUUGGUGGGGUAACGGCCCACCAAGGCGAAGAUGUAUAGCGGGUGUGAGAGCACGACCCGCGCCACUCGAACUGAGACACUGGCGAGACACCUACGGGUGGCUGCAGUCGAGGAUCUUCGGCAAUGAGCGCAAGCUUGACCGAGCGAUGCCGCGUGAGCGAUGAAGGCCUUCGGGUUGUAAAGCUCUUUAGUGGGGGAGAAAAGCCGCAAGGUGUGAUCUAUCCCAAAAAUAAGCACGGGCUAAGUUCGUGCCAGCAGCCGCCGUAA